UCUCUCUCUCUCUCUCUCUCUCAAAAAUAAACAAACAUUGAAAAAAACAACAACAAAGGGAAGAAGUAGCAGUCUGAGCAUAAAAUGUAUCAAGGUAUGUUUUCCCCUGCAGCCAUGGGAAACAACGCAAAUGUUAACAAAGUCUUGGGUGGGGGUCAGAUGUAGGAAGCAAGAAACAAUAUGAAGGUCACCUUCAAGGGCUUUGGUGGGAAGCAAGAACUGUGCACAAUGCAAAGGGUCUUCCACGGAGGACAGACUAUACGGUGUGAGCAACAGUAAGCAGAACAAUGGAGCAAAUUUCUUGUGCCAGUUUAUGUGUAGGGCCUCAGUGCUGAAAAUGUAGGGAAGUGGCAGUGGCAGAAGUCACAGUUUUGAUGGAAUAAGGUGGCGCAUGGAAUUGUGCGUGAAGUCUGCAGUGGGUAGGGAGAUGCACCAGAGAGAAGGAAAAGAAACAAGAACCUCAGACUCUGGCAACAGUGAACUUGGUGAGAGAGGGACAGUCGGAGGUAUCAAGUUCAAAGGGGUGGAUGGAGAGCAAGAACCAGAUUAGCAUGGAAAUGGGGACCAGGAAGAUUCCCUGAGACCAUAUUAUGCAGAGAAAGGAGACUGUUAUUCAGACCUGUGGUCUGGUCCAAGCACAAUGUGAGAGCUAUUUAAAAUGCUGCUGAUUGAAUUUGUCACCCCCACCCCGCCACCAACAAAAAAAGCUGGAAGGUUCUCACCACAUAUUUGAGGCUUGGAAAGCAAAACGUUUCUUAAAAACCAUCCUAAGAGAUCACUCUGGAAAGAUCUGGAGAAUGAUAUCAGAAACCUUUUAAUUUGUUUUGGGAAAAAAAAACAGUACAAAGCCAAUUGUAUAUUUCUAUACAGUGUUCUAAUUCCAGAGACUAAUUUCAUUGUCAACAAAUCUUUUUGUGGCCUUUAUAAAUAAAUCCUUCUGGUAUUAUCAUUGUAAUACAGACCUGGCCAAGAUAUGUUUGAGUGAAGAUCAAGGUUUCCAGAGCAGUCAAAUCAAAUAAACGGUCCCCUCGCAGAUUCUUUUAUAAGAGGUUUCUUAUUUAUUUUAAAGGGUUUCUGUUUUGUUUUUGAAGAGGGCAGAUCUGGGUAUGCCCCUAGCCAUCUACAUCACACCAAAAAUGACUUGCAGACAAGAUGAUCCCUUGGUUCCUUUGACUGCGAGAUUACAAAUGAACAGUCCUGCUUUUAGGUGGACAUACUCCCGAGGAAGGAAAGCCACUGAGGACCAGGGUGAAGGUAACUCAAUGGACACAUCAACGUCUCACUGAAGGAAAGAGAAGCAGGAAAAGAAAAUUCUCUGCGACGUCACCACGAGGAUGAGGUGCAGCGGUUCUGAGAGAUGGGGUUUGUAGGAGCAGAGGUAAGUCCAUUCAAAUACCUCAUCUCCCUCUGGAACCAGAUCAGCGAUUGCAGAGAAGGCUUGCCUGCGUGCUGCCCAAGUCACUCUUCCAAGUGCCCAUCCUGGCCUUCCUGUGUGCCAUCCCUCGCCUACCAAGGAGAGGGGUCCUAAACGAGAGGGAGGCGGCUUCCUUCUGGCAAGUCCCUGGGAGGACUCAGUUAGUUGUAAGCUAUCAGCAGCCAACACUUCAGGCACCUGGAGGUACCAAGGAAGGGCCAUGUGAAGACAGAGCCAGGAAGAGAGUUCUUACUAGAACCUGACCUUGCUGACACCCUGAGCUGAGACUUUUAACCUCCAGAACCAGAGAGACAGAGCAUGAACGGGAGAGGGGCAGAGAGAGAGGGAGACACAGCAUCGGAAACAGGC